rnacentral:tRNA from 1 species
CGGGAUGUAGUUCAGUGGUAAAACACUUGCCUACCAUGCAGGAAGUCCUGGGUUCAAUCCCUUCUUUCUGC